CACGCCGUAAACGAUGGGCACUAGGUGUGGGGGGUGUCGACUCCCUCCGUGCCGAAGCUAACGCAUUAAGUGCCCCGCCUGGGGAGUACGGCCGCAAGGCUAAAACUCAAAGGAAUUGACGGGGGCCCGCACAAGCAGCGGAGCAUGUGGUUUAAUUCGACGCAACGCGAAGAACCUUACCUAGGCUUGACAUGGCUCUGUAACAUCUGGAAACAGAUGCCCUCUUCGGAGCAGAGUCACAGGUGG
rnacentral:rRNA from 1 species